CCAGGGCGUGCUCGUCUGUGGCCACGUGACUGGUGUGCAGCAGGUCGUGGGCAAGGAGGGGCCCCUCGUCGCCCGCUCCCGCCUCUCCCGCUGUGCUGGCCUUGGCCUCACAGCCACGCAGCCGUCUCCUGGAUCACCUGGUGAGCUGCCCAGUCCCCAGAUGGUGGAACCAAAGACCCGCACGAUGUGUGGCCGCAGAAUAGAUCAGUGUCUCCGAUUUCAUACCGGGAAGCUGCGUGCUGCCUCUGAGCCGGGCCCGUCUCACUCUCAUCAGUAAACUCAACAAAAACAGAGACCAGGGGAAGGAAAACACCGAGUCAUGGAAAGAGCAGGAAAAGGAUGCUCUCUCUCUAUAGCCAGAGAAAGAUGUGGAACCAAGGUGAAGUUCUCCAGGGACAUCAUGGGGAAGUCCUUUCCAAAUAUCUCACCUCCCGCCAAGAGGAGGAGAAGAGGAAAGCAAGGUCACGGCGGAAAGAUCUACUUGGAAGUGUUUGUAAAGAAUUCCUUCCUCUAAAGCUUCUGCUCAUGGUGGAUGGAGGCCGCCACGUUUGCCCAGGGACACGGACUCUUCGGCCCACCUGACGGGCUCAGAGGCGGGCACCACCCUUAAAAUGCAUCAUGGCGAGUGCUUUCCUUGGAAUCUCUAAUUGGACUAUGGAGGAAUUGAGCUGUGGGAGAACAGACUUGCAAGAUUUUGUGGAGUGAUGGACCCUUCCAUCGGAACAUGGGAACAGAAGUCACGCAGAAUGCCGAGGCCCCAGCACCGCCCUGAACUCAAAACUAACUCUCUGGCUCUAGCUCCUGUGACUCGUGACUGGGAACUUGACCUACAUGGCCUCAAGAGCCUCUGUUGGGCUUGCCAUAAACUCUUCUUACUCAAGUUCAUUUAGGUGUGCUUCUGGUUUUUACAACCCAAAGGACCACAACUAUUACGGAUAGCUGCCUUUGGAAUAUAUUUAUUUUAGGGUAUAGAGGUCAGCAACCUAGACUCAGCAGUCAGACUUCUCAGGUUCAAAUCCCACUUCACUCCUUAUUAGCCAUAAGACCUUUGGCAAAUUGCUUUAUUUCUUUAUGCCUCAAUUUCUUGAUUCAAUUAUGCAUGGCACAUAGUUGAUACUAUAUACAUGUGUUUAAGAUUAUUAUUGCUCUUUCUGUGCUUUGUGGUUUUUUUCUGUGUUAUGCUUUAUGGAAAAAAAAAACCACUGUGCUUCUGAUCACAGAACACAAAGCAAUUAGUAAUAAUAAAAUAAUAAUAAUGACUACUAUUUAUUGACAGCUCAGUCUAAGGCAGAGAUUGUUUAAUUUUAUGCAAAUUAGUUCAUUUUUACUCCCAAUGACCCUGUGAGAUAGACGAUAUUAUCUCCAUGUUUCAAAUGAGGAAUUGAGGUGUAGGGAAAGGAAAGAAGUUGUCCAUGGUCACCAACAAGACCAAGUCAGGACUCACAACUGGGUCCGGUUCUGAAAUCUGUGUUCCUUCCCCGGCCCCCAAAUCUCCAGGUACUUGCUGUGUGUGAAGUCGGCUGGGAAAAAUUGGCUAGGAUCUUUUUAUUUCCUCCCGAGAUGUGCCCUAUAUUUCUCAAAUGUCUUGCAUUU